UGGGGAAUCUUGCACAAUGGGGGCAACCCUGAUGCAGCGACGCCGCGUGAGCGAUGAAGCCCUUCGGGGCGUAAAGCUCUUUCGACCGGAACGAUAAUGACGGUACCGGGAGAAGAAGCUACGGCUAACUAGGUGCCAGCAGCUGCGGUAAUACGUAGGCAGCAAGCGUUGUUCGGAGUUACUGGGCGUAAAGAGUGCGUAGGCGGUUUUCUAAGUUCGGUGUGAAAUCUCCCGGCUUAACUGGGAGGGUGCGCCGAAGACUGGGAAGCUGGAGUGUGGGAAAGGCAGGCGGAAUUCCUGGUGUAGCGGUGAAAUGCGUAGAUAUCAGGAGGAACACCGGCGGUGUAGACGGCUUGCUAGACCAUAACUGACGCUGAGGCACGAAAGCGUGGGUAGCAAACA
rnacentral:rRNA from 1 species